rnacentral:rRNA from 1 species
UCCCGUACUUGGUGUUACUGCGAAGGGGGGACGGAGAAGGCUAUGUUGGCCGGGCGACGGUUGUCCCGGUUUAAGCGUGUAGGUGUGUGUUCCAGGUAAAUCCGGUUCACUUUAACACUGAGGCGUGAUGACGAGGCACUACGGUGCUGAAGCAACAAAUGCCCUGCUUCCAGGAAAAGCCUCUAAGCAUCAGGUAACAUCAAAUCGUACCCCAAACCGACACAGGUGGUCAGGUAGAGAAUACCAAGGCGCUUGAGAGAACUCGGGUGAAGGAACUAGGCAAAAUGGUGCCGUAACUUCGGGAGAAGGCACGCUGACACGUAGGUGAAGUGAUUUACUCAUGGAGCUGAAGUCAGUCGAAGAUACCAGCUGGCUGCAACUGUUUAUUAAAAACACAGCACUGUGCAAACACGAAAGUGGACGUAUACGGUGUGACGCCUGCCCGGUGCCGGAAGGUUAAUUGAUGGGGUCAGCGUAAGCGAAGCUCCUGAUCGAAGCCCCGGUAAACGGCGGCCGUAACUAUAACGGUCCUAAGGUAGCGAAAUUCCUUGUCGGGUAAGUUCCGACCUGCACGAAUGGCGUAAUGAUGGCCAGGCUGUCUCCACCCGAGACUCAGUGAAAUUGAACUCGCUGUGAAGAUGCAGUGUACCCGCGGCAAGACGGAAAGACCCCGUGAACCUUUACUAUAGCUUGACACUGAACAUUGAGCCUUGAUGUGUAGGAUAGGUGGGAGGCUUUGAAGUGUGGACGCCAGUCUGCAUGGAGCCGACCUUGAAAUACCACCCUUUAAUGUUUGAUGUUCUAACGUGGACCCGUAAUCCGGGUUGCGGACAGUGUCUGGUGGGUAGUUUGACUGGGGCGGUCUCCUCCUAAAGAGUAACGGAGGAGCACGAAGGUUGGCUAAUCCUGGUCGGACAUCAGGAGGUUAGUGCAAUGGCAUAAGCCAGCUUGACUGCGAGCGUGACGGCGCGAGCAGGUGCGAAAGCAGGUCAUAGUGAUCCGGUGGUUCUGAAUGGAAGGGCCAUCGCUCAACGGAUAAAAGGUACUCCGGGGAUAACAGGCUGAUACCGCCCAAGAGUUCAUAUCGACGGCGGUGUUUGGCACCUCGAUGUCGGCUCAUCACAUCCUGGGGCUGAAGUAGGUCCCAAGGGUAUGGCUGUUCGCCAUUUAAAGUGGUACGCGAGCUGGGUUUAGAACGUCGUGAGACAGUUCGGUCCCUAUCUGCCGUGGGCGCUGGAGAACUGAGGGGGGCUGCUCCUAGUACGAGAGGACCGGAGUGGACGCAUCACUGGUGUUCGGGUUGUCAUGCCAAUGGCACUGCCCGGUAGCUAAAUGCGGAAGAGAUAAGUGCUGAAAGCAUCUAAGCACGAAACUUGCCCCGAGAUGAGUUCUCCCUGAGACUUAGAGUCUCCUGAAGGAACGUUGAAGACGACGACGUUGAUAGGCCGGGUGUGUAAGCGCAGCGAUGCGUUGAGCUAACCGGUACUAAUGAACCGUGAGGCUUAACCUU